rnacentral:tRNA from 1 species
GGGCCCAUAACUCAGCUUGGCCAGAGUGUCUGACUUUUAAUCAGAAAGCCGAGGGUUCGAAAACACAGGGGAGCAAAUCAAACCCAAUGUCCCCCUAAGGUUCCUCCCCUCUUCGCAUCCGAAGAUGGCGCGGCGCAACCUUUGUUGAAAAUCCCUCUGGGCCCG